rnacentral:rRNA from 1 species
GAUGAACGCUGGCGGCGUGCUUAACACAUGAAAGUCGAGCGAAGCACUUAAGUCUGAUUCUUCGGAUGAAGACUUUUGUGACUGAGCGGAGGACGGGUGAGUAACGCGUGGGUAACCUGCCUCAUACAGGGGGAUAACAGCUAGAAAUGACUGCUAAUACCGCAUAAGACCACGGUAGCGCAUGGUUCAGUGGUAACAACGCCGGUGGUAUGAGAUGGACCCGCGUCUGAUUAGGUAGUUGGUGGGGUAACGGCCUACCAAGCCGACGAUCAGUAGCCGACCUGAGAGGGUGACCGGCCACAUUGGGACUGAGACACGGCCCAGACUCCUACGGGAGGCAGCAGUGGGGAAUAUUGCACAAUGGAGGAAACUCUGAUGCAGCGACGCCGCGUGAAGGAUGAAGUAUUUCGGUAUGUAAACUUUUAUCAGAAGGGAAGAAAAUGACGGUACCUGACUAAGAAGCCCCGGCUAACUACGUGCCAGCAGCCGCGGUAA